GUGACUUACUUACAAAUGUACAAGGCAAAGUUUAGCCAGAUUAAUUUAGCAAUUCAUUUGUUGAGAGCAAAUAGCACACAGACUGCAAACAGAGGAGUAACCCCCCCAUGCAGAACCCGUACUCUUUUUGUCUGAAUGCUAGGGACCACAAUGUUGGCGGGGUGACUUAUGGCAUACAUUCUCGAGAGGCACAGGUCUUCACGCGUCGUCCCGCUUGUAAAACCUUGUGAGCGCGGCCUGCGGCGAGACGAGCGAUCCCGGUGGUCUCCUUUCGGGCCUCCGUCCUGCAUCACGAGCAGGCAAGCCUCCACGCGGGUAUUAGCCGUUCUUUCAGAUGCACAGCCAGGAGCGGUGAAGAAUGAUAACACGUGAAAAAGCUCAGUAAAGCACGGACCACCGAAAAUGGAACACGCCUGAGGAUGGAAAAACACUUCAAGAAUCCUCGCCGGAUCUUUGAGUUUAUUGAGUGCAAAACUGCUGAGGAUCAGGAGACGCAAAAACAAUGAGACACAACUUUCAGAAUGACGUUGCUCUGCUACAAGUUAACUGCACUUCUGUUCAUCCAGAAUGAGGUUUAUUCUAUUAUUUGGCAUUUGUCUUAAGAGUCUGUUUUUGCAUCAUUGAGUCUUUUAAAUUGUUGUGACAAGAGAAAUUACAAAUGUACUUGAUGCAGGUCCUGGCGUGCUUCAAAUAAUCCAAGCGAAUAUCACCACAUUCAUUUUACACACUGUAUGAUUGACAAUGCCACUGCAAUACAACACAUUUCACUGAUAAGGGAGUUUGUUAUCUGCAGAGGAAAUGCAUGAAAUUAACUGCCUGAAUAAAGAAAGUUUCCAAAGAGAAGUAUACUGUUCCACUUGUGAGGAGCAUCUCUUCCCCUUGCAGCCUGCAGCUUUUGGCUUUGUACAUCGCCUGUGACAACAACUUUCCUGAUAAGCCCUCACAAGUCUCUUGUUCCACCAACGCUCAACCAGGAUUAAAAUGAAAAAAGGCACCGGAUAAGCCUUUAGAAAUUAGCCUGUGGGGGAAAUGACAUAAUACGGAACAAUGAGGGAAGAUCAACACUACACAUUGAGUCCCAGCCCGGUAACCUGCCUUCACACCUUAUAGUCCUGCACCAACACUGCAGCACAAAGAGGCACAGCUCCUCUCCAGCCCACUGAAAACUCCUGUCCUCGUUGGUGUGAUUACGAAUGGCC
ensembl:lncRNA